rnacentral:misc_RNA from 1 species
AAAAUGCGAUACUUGGUGGGAAUUGCAAAAUCCCGCGAACCAUCGAGUCUUUGAACGCAAGUUGCGCUCGAAACCAUUAGGCUGAGGGCACGUCUGCCUGGGCAUCUCACGUUGCGUCGCCCGCGCACCCUCACCCCCCCCCCUCGAAGGGGGAGAAGAAGGACUGCGGGCGGAUGCUGGCCCCCUGCGCUUGCCCGCACGCGGUCGGCCCAAAAGUGAGUCCCCCGCGACGGACGAUGCGUCGCGAUGAGUAGUGGUUGACAAACCGUUCUGCCGCCUCGCGCGGGUCCUAGCCGUCUCGGGAGGCCUAUCGUGACCCUAUCACGCCGCCACCAAGGCGCUCCGAUCGCGACCCUAGGUCAGGUGGGAUUCCCACUGAGUUGAA